rnacentral:rRNA from 1 species
GAUGAACGCUGGCGGCGUGCCUAAUACAUGCAAGUCGAACGAGUUCUCGUUGAUGAUCGGUGCUUGCACCGAGAUUCAACAUAGAACGAGUGGCGGACGGGUGAGUAACACGUGGGUAACCUGCCCUUAAGUGGGGGAUAACAUUUGGAAACAGAUGCUAAUACCGCAUAGAUCCAAGAGCCGCAUGGUUCUUGGCUGAAAGAUGGCGUAAGCUAUCGCUUUUGGAUGGACCCGCGGCGUAUUAGCUAGUUGGUGAGGUAAUGGCUCACCAAGGCGAUGAUACGUAGCCGAACUGAGAGGUUGAUCGGCCACAUUGGGACUGAGACACGGCCCAAACUCCUACGGGAGGCAGCAGUAGGGAAUCUUCCACAAUGGACGCAAGUCUGAUGGAGCAACGCCGCGUGAGUGAAGAAGGCUUUCGGGUCGUAAAACUCUGUUGUUGGAGAAGAAUGGUCGGCAGAGUAACUGUUGUCGGCGUGACGGUAUCCAACCAGAAAGCCACGGCUAACUACGUGCCAGCAGCCGCGGUAAUACGUAGGUGGCAAGCGUUAUCCGGAUUUAUUGGGCGUAAAGCGAGCGCAGGCGGUUUUUUAAGUCUGAUGUGAAAGCCCUCGGCUUAACCGAGGAAGGGCAUCGGAAACUGGGAAACUUGAGUGCAGAAGAGGACAGUGGAACUCCAUGUGUAGCGGUGAAAUGCGUAGAUAUAUGGAAGAACACCAGUGGCGAAGGCGGCUGUCUGGUCUGUAACUGACGCUGAGGCUCGAAAGCAUGGGUAGCGAACAGGAUUAGAUACCCUGGUAGUCCAUGCCGUAAACGAUGAAUGCUAGGUGUUGGAGGGUUUCCGCCCUUCAGUGCCGCAGCUAACGCAUUAAGCAUUCCGCCUGGGGAGUACGACCGCAAGGUUGAAACUCAAAGGAAUUGACGGGGGCCCGCACAAGCGGUGGAGCAUGUGGUUUAAUUCGAAGCAACGCGAAGAACCUUACCAGGUCUUGACAUCUUUUGAUCACCUGAGAGAUCAGGUUUCCCCUUCGGGGGCAAAAUGACAGGUGGUGCAUGGUUGUCGUCAGCUCGUGUCGUGAGAUGUUGGGUUAAGUCCCGCAACGAGCGCAACCCUUAUGACUAGUUGCCAGCAUUUAGUUGGGCACUCUAGUAAGACUGCCGGUGACAAACCGGAGGAAGGUGGGGAUGACGUCAAAUCAUCAUGCCCCUUAUGACCUGGGCUACACACGUGCUACAAUGGAUGGUACAACGAGUUGCGAGACCGCGAGGUCAAGCUAAUCUCUUAAAGCCAUUCUCAGUUCGGACUGUAGGCUGCAACUCGCCUACACGAAGUCGGAAUCGCUAGUAAUCGCGGAUCAGCACGCCGCGGUGAAUACGUUCCCGGGCCUUGUACACACCGCCCGUCACACCAUGAGAGUUUGUAACACCCGAAGCCGGUGGCGUAACCCUUUUAGGGAGCGAGCCGUCUAAGGUGGGACAAAUGAUUAGGGUG